rnacentral:rRNA from 1 species
GAUGAACGCUGGCGGCGUGCCUAAUACAUGCAAGUCGAGCGAACAGACGAGGAGCUUGCUCCUCUGACGUUAGCGGCGGACGGGUGAGUAACACGUGGAUAACCUACCUAUAAGACUGGGAUAACUUCGGGAAACCGGAGCUAAUACCGGAUAAUAUAUUGAACCGCAUGGUUCAAUAGUGAAAGACGGUUUUGCUGUCACUUAUAGAUGGAUCCGCGCCGCAUUAGCUAGUUGGUAAGGUAACGGCUUACCAAGGCAACGAUGCGUAGCCGACCUGAGAGGGUGAUCGGCCACACAGGAACUGAGACGCGGUCCAGACUCCUACGGGAGGCAGCAGUAGGGAAUCUUCCGCAAUGGGCGAAAGCCUGACGGAGCAACGCCGCGUGAGUGAUGAAGGUCUUCGGAUCGUAAAACUCUGUUAUUAGGGAAGAACAAAUGUGUAAGUAACUAUGCACGUCUGGACGGUACCUAAUCAGAAAGCCACGGCUAACUACGU